rnacentral:misc_RNA from 1 species
AACGCAUAUUGCGCUCGAGCCUUCGGGCAAGAGCAUGUCUGCCUCAGCGUCGGUUUACACCCUCACACCCCUAUCAUUUGGGUAGCGUCAAGCCUUUUUUUGGCUUGCGGGUGUGGAUUUGGCUUCCCCAGCAAUUGUUGCAAAACAAAUGCCUGGGUUAGCUGAAGUAUAGAGGCUUGAGCAAGGACCCGUAAUCGGGCAUCAACUGGAUAGGUAGUGCCGACCAACCGGUCGUCUACACGAAGUUGUUGCUUGUGGACCUUGCUGGGAGCCAGCAGGAAACUUUCAAACAUUCGACCUGAGCUCAGGCAAGACUACCCGCUGAACUUAA